AUUGAACGCUGGCGGCAGGCCUAACACAUGCAAGUCGAGCGGAUGAAGGGAGCUUGCUCCUGGAUUCAGCGGCGGACGGGUGAGUAAUGCCUAGGAAUCUGCCUGGUAGUGGGGGAUAACGUCCGGAAACGGGCGCUAAUACCGCAUACGUCCUGAGGGAGAAAGUGGGGGAUCUUCUGACCUCACGCUAUCAGAUGAGCCUAGGUCGGAUUAGCUAGUUGGCGGGGUAAAGGCCUACCAAGGCGACGAUCCGUAACUGGUCUGAGAGGAUGAUCAGUCACACUGGAAGUGAGACACGGUCCAGACUCCUACGGGAGGCAGCAGUGGGGAAUAUUGGACGAUGGGCGAAAGCCUGAUCCUGCCAUGCCGCGGGUGUGAAGAAGGUCUUCGGAUUGUAAAGCACUUUAAGUUGGGAGGAAGGGCAGUAAGUUAAUACCUUGCUGUUUUGACGUUACCAACAGAAUAAGCACCGGCUAACUUCGUG
rnacentral:rRNA from 1 species